rnacentral:lncRNA from 1 species
GUCUCCUGUUAGUUCGACAAUUAUAAAUACAUUAUGAUUUAAUUGUCUUAAGCUUGCCAACCACGUCGAGGUCGAAGAUCACUAGUAAGGUUUUUUUUAUUUUCUUUUUUUUUCUUUUUUUCCCCUGUUUUUUUUUUUUUUUAAACUACCACUAUCAUCGCAUACGGAAUCUAAGUACACAACCCUUUAUUUCACCUGGUAGAGUUAUUACAAAAACACAAAAUUAAUAAGAAUAUACAUAUUUACAUUGAAUAACAG